rnacentral:hammerhead_ribozyme from 1 species
ACCCAGCUGACCAGUCCCAAAUAGGACGAAACGCGCUUCCUCAAU